UAAAGUGCGAUAUCUAGUGCGAUUUGCAUGAACCUGUGAGUCAUCGAGUUUUUGAACGCAACUUGCACCCGUAAGGGUAUGUCCCUUUGAGUAUAGAACCAAAAUAUAUGUUGGGUGAUGCUAAGGCGGAGGCCAAGGCUUAAGGCUAAGGCAAAGGCUAAGAGCUCACCUUAAAGGUAGCGUUAAGGUUCAAAGGAACAUUAGUAGCCAUACUUCAGCGCGCAGUUAAUGUGUGAAGGUUACACAGGCUGCUUAGCUGUCCUACUAAGAUCCUCGUAUCCUGUCUCAAAGGGGCAAGAUCACCCGCUGAACUUAA
rnacentral:misc_RNA from 1 species